UGGUUUUGAUGGAGCUUGUAAUUCUUGUCCCAUGUUCUUUGUUACUCAUUGCUUUAAUCAAGUUCCUUUAUGAUUACUUGUGGGUGCCUCUUAGUAUACAGCAUAUGCUGAAUUCUCAGGGAAUCAAAGGACCUCCUUACAGAUUCAUCCAUGGCAACAACAAGGAAAUUAUCAAAAUGAGAAAGGAAGCUAUGAGCAAACCCAAGGCCUUGACUCAUGAUAUAUUUGCCAAAACGCAGCCACAUAUGUACUCCUGGAUCAAAAAAUAUGGUAAGAUGGAUGCAUGUUUUUCACUAUGAUAUAUAAACUUGUAGUUUUAAGUAAGAAAAAGGAUCGACCCUUUUGUCUUUUAUAUGAUUAGGGAAGAAUUUUGUUUAUUGGAACGGUAUUCGAGCUGAAGUGGUGAUUUCAGAACCUGAACUAGUCAAAGAGGUUCUGAAAAAUAGUGAAAAUGUCUUUCCAAAAGCGAAGCCAUCAUUUUAUGUUAGCAAGCUACUGGGGAACGGGCUUGCGACAAUCGAUGGUGAAAAAUGGGUGAAGCAUCGGAAGUUGACGAAUUACGCUUUUCAUGGGGAAAGCUUAAAGGUAAAGUCUUGAAAUAUAUCAGUUUAGUAGAAUUAUUCAUGUACAAUGAAAAUAUUUCGGCAAAUUUUAUGUUGUUUCUUACAUAUUCGGGAAAUGUUUGGGUAGAACAUGACACCGGCAAUAAUUGCUAGCGUUGAAACAAUGCUAAAAAGGUGGAAAGGCAAAGAAGGCAAAGAGAUUGAAGUGUAUCAAGAAUUUAGAUUAUUGACUUCAGAAGUGAUAUCCAGAACAGCUUUUGGUAGCAAUUACUUGGAAGGGGAGAAGAUUUUUGCCAUGUUGAACAAGUUAUCAAUAAUUAUGGGCCGAAAUCUUUUUAAUACUAAAAUUCCUUUGAUCAGGUAUUUUCCCCCCUAAGCUUAAUUAAUCCCAAAUUUUGCCUUGAUUUGAACUAGCUUUUGAAUGCAAAUUUUAGAUUUUCAUUCCCCAUGGAUUUGGUUUUCUUCUUAUAUAUGGCUGACCUUGGUUUGCUUUUACAGCAAGUUAUGGAAACCUGCUGAUUUGCUAGAGUCUGAAGAACUUGCAAAAGAAAUAAAAGAUUGUGUGAUUAAGAUUGUCAGGAAAAGAGAAGAUAAAGCUGUAAAUGGAGAAGUUGAUAGCUUCGACAAUAAUUUUCUAGGAUUACUUAUAAAUGCCUAUCAUGAUUCGGAUGAAAAUAACAGGCUUUCAUUGGAAGACUUGGUAGAUGAGUGCAAAACAUUUUACUGGACCGGACACGACACUGUUAAUGCCUUGCUUGCUUGGGUUCUUUUGCUUUUAGCAAUCCAUGGAGAUUGGCAAGAGAAAGCAAGAAGAGAGGUGAUUGACAUAUUUGGUAACCAAAAUCCACAUCCUGAAAGCAUUGCAAAACUCAAAACUGUAAGUAAACUGUCAACCAUUCCACAAUAUAUAGUGUAGUCCAAGAAUUUAAUUCUCAAUCGCCAAGGCUUUUCAGUCACGUCAUCUUCAUCGUAAUUGCCAACCUAACAAAUAUUAUCGCGUUGUGACUAUUAUUUAAAUCCUGGUCUAUACUACUACGCAUUUAGUACAUUAUAUUCUUUAAAGUAAUAUGCUAUAUUCUACAGAUGACCAUGAUCAUAUAUGAAACUCUAAGAUUGUACGGUGCCACAAAUGGCCUGCCAAGAAAAGUUGCAAGAGAAGUUCAGGUAGGAAAGCUAGUCAUGCCAGCUAAUAUAGAUCUUCUUAUUGCGAGGGCUGCACUUCACCAUGACCCCCAACUAUGGGGAGAUGAUGUGCAUCUUUUCAAACCAGAGAGAUUUGCAGAAGGGAUUGCCAAAGCUACUAAUUACAAUGCAGCCGCAUUUUUCCCAUUUGGACUGGGACCUCGAUUUUGUGUUGGUAUGACCUUUGCAACCAUAGAAACCAAAAUUGCUCUCUCCAUGAUUCUACAACGCUACACCAUUAGUCUCUCCCCCGCCUAUGUACACUCACCAAUACCUAUUUUAACCCUUCAUCCAGAACAUGGAAUUCAAGUGAUACUUGAGUCACUGCAUAAUGAUGCUUAAAGUACACAACUGCUAAGAACUUGAAGUUUAACUUGGUUUGUGUAUUCACCUUUAAGAGAUGACGUAUAAUAUGUUUAAGGUUCUAGCAUUUGCAACCCAUUCAUUAUUCCCAAUCUCUUCCCUCCUUUAUGCAAAAGGAAAUGCAUGCAAAUGCUAUUCACCAAAAUGGUAAAACAUGCAAUCAAUAAACAAAGAAUGCAUUAUGUUUCUAGUAUUGUUGAUCAAUUUAUGGUCUACUAACAAUGUCUUCCUUGUGUAAAAGAUUUCAUGCAAGAACUUAACAAGAUUAUCCUCUUAUUGCUCUAAUAAAAUAUCAUGGGUGCCAAAUCUAAUAAAAAUAAGUAUAUGAUUCAAAAAAAAAAUGUAGAUAGCAAUGAACAUGGUCAAAUUAAUCCAUAAUGAUUAGUAAAAAAUCAUUUUUUUCAAUAAAACAAAGUAAAAAAAAAAAGAAAGAAAGAGAUUUUGAAGUUAGAAUCAAAUUUAAAAGUUAGAUUAUGAAAAGCCAAAUUAGAAAUGAAGUUUCAAAUCAAUAUAAUGAAAACUUAGUCAAAGGUAAAAUAUCACUUUAGAUUCAUGAGUCUAAUAAUUGAUGCAAAGAUAAAAUUUAAUAUUCUUUGAUAAAUUGGUUAUAGUUGUUGACAAAUUCAUAGAAACCAAUCUUUUCUUACCUUCUUGAUAAUCAAGAUGAACACUAUUGAUUCCUUUAUCGAUAAAUAAUCAUAUAACGCAUUUCAGAAGUUUAAUUUAUUAGUAGCAUUAAAAACUAAAGAGACUCGCUUCUAGUCAACAAACACAUAAAUAAAGUUCAUUUAAAUUAGAUUAUAUAUCCAGAUAAUAAUAAAUUGCAUAUUUCAACACCCGCACACAACCAUGUUAAGCUAUCAAAUGCGAGCUCGAGCUCGAGCUCUAUGUAUAACAAGACGUUAAAAAGAAUUAGCUAGUGUCAAGAGAAAAGCACAAAAAUGUACGAAAAUAAAAACAUGAAAAAGAUCUCUCUAAGUCCAUGCCAAAAUAUUCUAUUUUUAAAUGACCUAAUCAAGGUUUCAAUUCAUGCUUGGACGCGAAGUAUUCUAAACAUUGAAAAAAAAAAAAGACGAGAAAGGGUCAAAAAUGGCCAAGGCAUCUAGCACCGCACACUGCAGCGGACCUUGUUAUUCUAUCUACAGUCACACCUACAUUUACUUUACCCAGCUCUCUUCUGUGGCAAAGCACCACCAUGUUUAAGGGAUACAACAAACCACCUUAAUUUUUACUAAUAUAUCAAACAAAAUCAAUAUUUAUUUACUAUCAAACAAAAUAAUUUUAUGUAAUAUUUAAUUUUUAUUAAUAUAUCAAAUAGUUUUAUAAUAUAAAUUCAAUACUUAAAUUUUUAAUUUAUUAAACACAUGAGAUAAAAUAUUUUUCCAUUAUUUAUGUGUUAAUUAAAUUAAAUUCAUUAGAGAUAAAAUUAAAGGUUAACAAAACUUGAUUUGAUUUGAAAAAAAAUAUUUUUAAUUUCGAGUUAACCAAUAAUUUUUUAUUCAACUAGAACAACUGAUCUGGUUUUUGAGUUUGAGUCGAGUUUAAUUCUAUAAAUCGAAUCAUUCGAAAAACUCAAGUAACAUAUUGAUAUAAAUAUCCUUUAGGUCCUUAUAAUUUUAAAAAUUGGUCCCUCUAACAAAUUACAAAAUAAUUUUAUUUAUUUUCAUAAAUUUAUAAAAAUAUGUAAAAAAAUAAAAAACAUAUAUUAAAAUUCUUUAAAAAACAUAAAAUAGUAUAAAAAUGUUAAAUUAUAUUUUUUAUUUUUUUUCAAAAUGAUAAAAUUGAGACUUUAAACAACUACACUAUCAAAUCAAGUUUAUCAUACUAAUUAUCUUUGUUUUUUUUUUUUUUGUUGGCAUUAGUUUACUUUAAAAUAGUUUUCAAAAUACAUGAGGUAUACAUUUAGCUUCUAUAUCUUGGAAUUUAGUUAUAUUGUCUACAAGUUUUCAAUAUCAUCGGUUUAAAUUUUUUUUUUAAAGUUAAACUCAAACAAAUUUAUUCAACUCAACUCAAAUUUCAUUUCACUUGUCUUCAUUUGAAAAUUUAAAUCAAGUUAAGAUGAUAAAAUAGAACUCAUUAACUUGACUAAUUCAAAAAAAAAAAUUACUUGAUUUGGUUUAAUUCGAUCGAAUGCUUAUCCCUAAAUAAAAUAAUCUUUAUUAUGAUUAAAGAGGUUUUAAAAGGAUUUAAUUUAUUAACUUACCUCUUUUUUAAUUAAUUUAAUUUAAAGUAAAAAAAAUUCCAUAUGAUGUAUUUUUAUUCCUCCAAAAUUUUCUUCAUCUACAUAUUAGACUUGAAGCACUAAUUUUUUAGAGCUUAUGAAACAACUAUCAACUCUAAUAAUAAAAUUCAAUAAAACAUUAUAGAUUUAUCGCACACCGAUAAUAUGGAUAAAAUGAUUUAUAUAAUAAAUAUAUUUAUUAAGUGUUUUUACAUAAAAAUUAAUUGAUGUUUUAGUUACAAUGGUAAAGUCAUUAAUUUAUAUAUAUGGAAAAUGAAAAAAUAAAAAAAUUUAAUUUAAAUAUGUCUAGUUAAUCGGUGGCACGGUAAAAAACUUGAUAUAAGUAUAGAUAGAUAAAAAAAACAUAAAUAUAAUAGUGACAAAUAUUAUAAUGAUGGAAUAUAUACAUUAUUGUUAAUAUUCGUCCUUUGUACGCACUUCCCAAACAUAAAGAUUCCCUCCAUAAAUUGUUCAUGUGUUGCAAAGGGACAAAAGAUGAAGGCCAUUAUUAAAUGGAAGAACGAGGAGUAACAUACGAAGCAAUUUUACUUUGCCAUUGAUUAUAACACUAUAAUAAUCACUCUUUAUUAGUUGUAAGGCGUAAUAGACACUGAUGCUUUAACUUAAAAUAAUAUGUCUGACAUAUACUUCCAACUAAUCUUCACGUUGUUCCAAGGAUCCAAAAGGAAAGACGACAGUAAUAUCACAUUAAAUUAUCAUUUAAGUCCUUGUCCAAUAUGGAAAUCACAAUACAAAUAUUAAAGGAACAUCUGGAUUCAGUGUUAAGAGAAGAAAAUUUGAGUGGUUUUGAUGGAGCUUGUAAUUCUUGUCCCAUGUUCUUUGUUCCUCAUAGCUUUAAUCAAGUUCCUUUAUGAUUACUUGUGGGUGCCUCUUAGUUUACAGCAUAUGCUGAAUUCUCAGGGAAUCAAAGGACCUCCUUACAGAUUCAUCCAUGGCAACAACAAGGAAAUUAUCAAAAUGAGAAAGGAAGCUAUGAACAAACCUAAGGCCUUGACGCAUGAUAUGUUUCCCAAAUUGCAGCCACAUAUGCACUCCUGGAUCAAAGAAUAUGGUAAGA
rnacentral:lncRNA from 1 species